rnacentral:pre_miRNA from 1 species
AGCAGAAUUGCUGGGUCAUAUGGAAAGUGUAUGUUUAACUUUAUAAGAAACUGCCAAACUAUUUUCCAAUGUGACUGUACCUUCUGCAUUCCCACCAGCAGU